GCGUGCCGCCGGUCGCGCUCGCAGCCGCCCCGCUCGGCGCACCCACCUCGCUCGAGGUUGGGCGAGCGCGGAAGUAGAGUUCGGGACGGCGGAUCGGAAUCCAUCGACCGAUUCUCUCUUUCUCUCCUCUCCCUUGGAUUCCUGUAGGCGGUGGAUCAAUCUUGCCUUCGUGGUGGCGGCAGAACGAGCGCCGUGAGAUCAGGUGGACCUGCUUCUGAUUCCUCCUGGUGCUUGGGACGUUUUCGGCUAGAUUGAUUUACUAGCUACGUCCAAGCAGGCCACUGGAUUGAUUUCAUGAGGCUUACUAGCUACGUCCCAAUCAAGAUAGCUAGACUUACUAGCUACGUCCCAAGCAGGCCAAUCCAAUAUGUUGAUCAAUUUGAUUGUUCUGGCUGGAGGUCAGGAGGUCAGAAGGUGCGUCCUUCACACUAAAUCGUACCCGAAGUUCUACAAUUAGCGUUCACUACUAUGAAAGAAGAAGGCAUAUAUUUUCCUUGUGGAAUUUCCAGUAGAAUGGCAGUGAGAACGAGUAAAAUCUACAACAGUAUGACUGUAUGGUUCUCACUCAAAGUAGAGGCCCAACAAACUUUUUUGAAGUAGGAGUCGAAAACUACAAAUCCAUCUAUUCCUAGAAUGGAGCUGGUUGGAGUUGAGCCUACAAUUGAGCGGGUAGUUCGGUGGCACUGACAUCUAGCUGAAAGUUUUAUAGGAGGGUUAGUAAAGCAAAUUUGUUCAUGAGGAAAUGUGCCAGCAAAACAUUGAGUCAGAGUGCAAGACAAAUGCUCUUAACAGUUUUUUUGUCGCUUUUCUUUAAUUACAAUUCUUAUUAUUUUUAGUUGGCAUUGAUGUACAAAAGAAAAUCCUGUGCCUUUUUUUUCUCUCAUUGACCAUUGUAUUUUUGAGUCAUAUCAGUCUAUGUAAAAGAAUUCAGUACCUUAUGUUUUGUAUAUUU